rnacentral:rRNA from 1 species
UACGAAGGGGGCUAGCGUUGUUCGGAAUCACUGGGCGUAAAGCGCACGUAGGCGGAUCGUUAAGUCGAGGGUGAAAUCCCAGGGCUCAACCCUGGAACUGCCUUCGAUACUGGCGAUCUUCGAGUCCGGGAGAGGUGAGUGGAACUCCGAGUGUAGAGGUGAAAUUCGUAGAUAUUCGGAGGAACACCGAUGGCGAAGGCAGCUCACUGGCCGUUAUCUGACGCUGAGGCGCGAAAGCGUGGGUAGCAAACAGG